UACACUCCUGCGGGAGGCAGCAGUGGGGAAUUUUGGACAAUGGGGGCAACCCUGAUCCAGCAAUGCCGCGUGAGUGAAGAAGGCCUUCGGGUUGUAAAGCUCUUUUGUCAGGGAAGAAACGGUGGUGGCGAAUAACUACUACUAAUGACGGUACCUGAAGAAUAAGCACCGGCUAACUACGUGCCAGCAGCCGCGGUAAUACGUAGGGUGCAAGCGUUAAUCGGAAUUACUGGGCGUAAAGCGUGCGCAGGCGGUUGUGUAAGUCAGAUGUGAAAUCCCCGGGCUCAACCUGGGAAUUGCAUUUGAGACUGCACGGCUAGAGUGUGUCAGAGGGGGGUAGAAUUCCACGUGUAGCAGUGAAAUGCGUAGAUAUGUGGAGGAAUACCGAUGGCGAAGGCAGCCCCCUGGGAUAACACUGACGCUCAUGCACGAAAGCGUGGGGAGCAAACAGGAUUAGAUACCCCUGUAGUCCCAUGAU
rnacentral:rRNA from 1 species